rnacentral:rRNA from 1 species
UUAGGAAUUUUGCGCAAUGGGGGAAACCCUGACGCAGCAACGCCGCGUGAGUGAAGAAGGCCCUUGGGUCGUAAAGCUCUUUCAGUAGGGAAGAAGUUGACGGUACCUACAGAAGAAGCACCGGCUAACUCCGUGCCAGCAGCCGCGGUAAUACGGAGGGUGCAAGCGUUAUUCGGAAUGACUGGGCGUAAAGAGCACGUAGGCGGCUUAUUAAGUCUGAUGUGAAAGCCCCGAACUCAAUUUGGGAAGUGCAUUGGAUACUGGUAAGCUAGAGUAUAGGAGAGGAGAGUGGAAUUCCAGGUGUAGAGGUGAAAUUCGUAGAUAUCUGGAGGAACAACGGAGGCGAAGGCGACUCUCUGGACUAUUACUGACGCUGAGGUGCGAAAGCGUGGGGAGCGAACAGG